GAGGCGGGCAGGAGGGGUGCGCCGCGGAGGUCCAGCCAGGGCCGCGGUGCGCCUACACGUCACUGCUACUCAAACCCAGGCACGUCCCGAAAGCGGUAUUUUCUGCGUCUGGGAGGUUUUUGCGUCCUCAGUUCCCACCGCUGGGGCUGGCGGCGACCGACUCACGGACUUUGCGCAGCGGGAGAGCUGUCAUUUCAGCACCAGGAUUCAGAAUUGAUCCAGUCCGCUGCAGAGGGGGGCAUAUCUCAGCUCGGGUCUCGCCUGGAACAAUAGUAGUUUUUCUCAGCAAGGCUGCAAUUAACAUCUUAUUUGUUCAGGCUCGGUACAGGCUUUGUCGGGACUGCGGUGAGGCAACCGAGGUUGGGAAUCUUGCAUUGCUUUCUGCAUGGCAAUGGGAUCGUGGUUGUGGGGUCAAAACUUUUGUUUUGUUUUGUGGUCUUAGUGUAUCUUUUUCUUUUUCAAGUUUCCCUACUAACAAGUUUGGGGGGAAUGGGUGGGAAGAAACCCGGGAAAAGCAAGAGAAGGGCCUGAUUCUCCAUGUAAGAAGGAAGGAAGAGAUUAAUUUCCACACCCUCCCCUUUUAUUUAUUUAUUUACUUAUUUAGGCUCCUAAACAGUAGGCUAAUGAAUUAUUUGAUGAACUAGCUUCAAAAAUAGGAUGCAAAAAUGUCAUUUGACUCCUUACUAUGUCUCUACUUGUAGACUCAGUUGGUGGUUUGCAAAACAAGUGCUAAAAUAGUGCAGUGAUGUGGUGGGAGGAGACCAUAAAGGGUAAUUCAUUUCAAGUGUGGAGCCUUCCUAAGGGUAAGUUGCAUGAGCGACAGGUGAAGUUGAAUAAAGCAAUUUCCCAUCAUUUUGUCUCCUCACUCUUCUGUAUUUUUAUUCCUCUUUUUGUUCCUCUCCCCUGGGUCGAUUGUGUAGCCAAGAACAAGAUAUUUUUUAAAAGGUUAGAGUGAAAACAGGUGAUCUUUUAUUCACCAGAGUUGUUUGAAAUAUUAAAAUUGGCUCUUUACUUCUUAAUACAUAUUAAUAGAAUGACCCUCUUCAAUGCUUUCUCUUCUAGGAUGAAUGUUUAAAGUAAAACCCUGUAAGGGAAACCGUAAUCAUUCCCCAGCUGGCUUUAAGGGUGUUUGCAGGAACAAAUCACCAGUGAGAGAAACUUGAGUGGCAUUUUGUUUUGUGUCAUUUUUGGUUCAUUACCACAAUUUUUUAUCCAUUGAAACAAAUGUACAAAGAAAAUAUGGUUUAUAUAUUCAGGGCAAAAUCCAAAACACUGUAAAACAUACACAUUUUCUUAAAAAAAAAAAAAGAACAUUCAGCAAUAUAAAGAAGAAACAUUUUAUUUAUUUCAACUUCCAGAGAUUGGAACCAUGGUAUCUCCAAAACAUUUUGAUCAGUUCUGUUAUUUUUAUCUAGAGAAAAAUAGAGAUUAAUGAUAGAUGUGUAAUAAAAAUGGAGAAAAAAAAGCUUUGCACAGUUUGUACUUUUAAAAAAAAUGAAAAAAAAAUAAGGUUUAAACAUGCUUCUAUUUUGCACUUAGUGGUUUCUCAUAUUAUCCUUUAGCAUAGUGAUUUUGAUGUUUCUUAGAAAUUCUUAAAUGUCAUGACUCAGUGAUGUAAGAAUAACAUCCAAAGGGGACAAUUUUAAAAGGCUUAAUUCUAAAUGGAAAGGAGCACUCAUUCCCAGGAUCAUUUAUAUUCAAGUAGAAUGCAGGGCUGGGUCAGAAAAGAAAGCUACCCUUAAUAAAGCGCUUCACCCUUCACACUGUUUCCUGUAACCUUCAUAAAUUGCAGGCUACUGAGCUGGCCUGAUGAUGAGCCUGCUGAGGUAUAUUUAUAGCAGAUGAUUUGUAGAUGAUAAAUAUGCCAAGCAAGACAUCGUCUCCAGUAACCCCAGGCUCCACUGACUUCCUCAGGGGGUCAUAAUCACGACUCACCAAAAGAGCCCUGGAUGUGGAGAAUCUGGUCUCUGAACCCUGACAAUAGCACAGUCCAAAGGCAAACCAAGGAGGAAUCACUUUGUUUCAUGUCUGCACAAUGUUCCACAUGAAAGCGUUGCUGACAUAUUGACUCAACAACCAAAAGAGAAUAGCAGUUUGCAUACCCUAGGCUCUAUGUUCUUCCUAUUGACAUAGGUCCAUUUUUAUGUCUUAAAGUAUUUUGAAAUUGCCAUUUCAAAUUAUAAUUAUUAGCUUCUUAACCUCUUAAGUCCCUGUGCAUGUCCAUGACAUCUGUAUGUGUACAAACACAAAUUUCACAUGCAUACAUGAUGCACAUAUUUUCUACUAUUGGAAUACAUACAUAUAUAAUAUGCAUGUAUGUUUUCAGUUGUAACACAUUUUUUGAGGAUAUUUCACUAUAUUACUUUAUAUAUCUCUGCUAAACAAAGGAAUUUCUCCUCAAAAUUGCCAAAUUAAUGAUAUAAACUAAUUUUGUUUCCUUGUUGAGUUUCAAAAGAACCAUUGAGAAAUCAGAUUAACACAUCAAAAUAUGGACUGACAUUGCAUUUUAAAUUAGCCCAAGUAUUUAAGGUUAGAGUCCUUCAAAUUUAUCUCUCCUAUUAUAUAUCCAUUUGAUUAAGAUUUCUUUAGAAAAAUGACAUUUCUCAGUGUAUUUUUAUAUAUUUUCCUGUUACUUUUUUGUUUAUUCUUCUAUAUUUGAGAAUAACCUUGUUCUCCAAGAUUAUUGCUUAAAAUUCGGUGUCAUCUGCAAAAUUCUUCUACUCAAAAAUAUGUUUCUCAAUCUUGUUUACUUGUUUUAGAAAGUUUUUUCUUCCCUUGCUCCUCCCAUAUUUUUAGUGUUACUACAUUGACACAUUGAAAUUUUUUAAAUUGUUAGUUUCAAUAAGGCUUUAGAAAGUAGAAAUGGGUUUGUAGAUUAUUCCUUGUUCAAACUCUUCUGAUAUAUCUGUAUUGUUUCCAAUAUGCACAGAAAUGGCUUCUGGUAAUUAAUUCCAUAAUUAAAAAGAAUUACUAAAACA